rnacentral:lncRNA from 1 species
AAAUGCUAUUAUUUUUAAUGUAUUUUUCUUGUAUUUAUCACCUUAACAUUUUAUCUUAUUAAUUGUAAUAAUUUUCAAGAAAGUCCUUUGGAUUUUCUAGAUUUGUAACCACGGCAUUAACUAAAGAGAUAGUUUAAUGUCUUUCUCUCCAAUAUUUAUAACAUGCCAUUUUCUUUUCUUAUUAUAUUCGUUAGGAUUCUUUUUUUCCCUCCAAAGCCAAAUGCUUUAGAAAUAUUUGCUAGAAUUCUAAGGCAAUGUGUUAUAAUAGUG